rnacentral:tRNA from 1 species
GAGGGUGUAGCUCAAGUGGUAGAGCGCAUGCUUGGCAGGCACUAGGUCCGGGGUUCAAUCCCCAGUACUGUCU